GCCAAUGUGGCAUAGUGGUUUCUGUGUUGGACUAUGACUCUGGAGACCAAGGUUUGAUUCCCCGCUCGGCCA